ACUACGGGAGGCUGCAGUGGGGAAUAUUGGGCAAUGGGCGCAAGCCUGACCCAGCAACGCCGCGUGAAGGAAGAAGGCUUUCGGGUUGUAAACUUCUUUUCUGAGGGACGAAGAAAGUGACGGUACCUCCGGAAUAAGCCACGGCUAACUACGUGCCAGCAGCCGCGGUAAUACGUAGGUGGCAAGCGUUAUCCGGAUUUAUUGGGUGUAAAGGGCGGGUAGGCGGGAAAGCAAGUUAGAUGUGAAAACUCAGGGCUCAACCCUGGGCCUGCAUUUGAAACUGUUUUUCGUGAGUGCUGGAGAGGUAAUCGGAAUUCCGGGUGUAGCGGUGAAAUGCGUAGAUAUACGGAGGAACACCAGUGGCGAAGGCGGAUUGCUGGACAGUAACUGACGCUGAGGCGCGAAAGCGUGGGGAGCAAACAGGAUUAGAUACCCCAGUAGUC
rnacentral:rRNA from 1 species